rnacentral:rRNA from 1 species
UACAGAGGUCUCAAGCGUUGUUCGGAUUCAUUGGGCGUAAAGGGUGCGUAGGUGGCGGGGUAAGUCAGGUGUGAAAUUUCGGAGCUUAACUCCGAAACUGCAUUUGAUACUGCUUUGCUUGAGGACUGGAGAGGAGACUGGAAUUCACGGUGUAGCAGUGAAAUGCGUAGAGAUCGUGAGGAAGACCAGUGGCGAAGGCGGGUCUCUGGACAGUUCCUGACACUGAGGCACGAAGGCCAGGGGAGCAAACGGG